rnacentral:lncRNA from 1 species
AUCGCUAUAUAAUUUCGCAAUGAAACUCCCGUCGCCAUAAGCAUAGUAAAAAGGUGGACACGUGUAAGAUUUACAGUCGGAAAUUUCAAUGUCUUCGAGCGGGCAUUUCGCCAUAGCGCAGAGGUUAGAGGAAGACAUAGAGGAGUGGACGGCGGAGCAGGAGCGUGACUUGCACGUGACGGGGACAGCAGAGGUGAGAUUAAGUGGGCCCGGGUUAGGGAUAGUACAAGGGUUAUACUUGCCUUCACAUAGAAUACAGUCAAAAGGGUGGCAAGGGAGCCAAACGACGUCGCUUCCAGUAUCCAUGUAGAGGGAAAUAGUUUGAGAGCCAAGGGAAAAGGAGAGCGUGUAAUCACUUCCUGGAGUGAGAGGGAGGGAGACUUGACGGUGGUGGUGGAGGCGAGUGGCGGAGCGAGCGGAGGUGGAUUUGAGGAGCUGAUGAGUACUGUUGUAUUGGGUUUUCGAGAAAGAAUGUGUUAAAGGGAAAACUAAUGUUUCUGCGGAGGAGGAGAAAAGGAAGAGUGAGAAGAAAGUGAAAAGAGUGAAGAAAACAGAGGAAGAAGCCAUUGGGGAAAACAGAGCAAACUGAGGUUCAGAAACAGAGUAUUUUGUUUUGAAAUGAAUAUACAACUGAAACACUAUGCGCUCGACCUUAUCUUUUCUGUACACAGAGAAAGAAAGAGAGGGAUCA